rfam:Oryza sativa (indica cultivar-group) chromosome 2, whole genome shotgun sequence.
UAUAAGUACAGUUUUACACAUUUGACCGUUCGUCUUAUUUAAAAAUUUUAUAUGAUUAGUAUUUUUAUUGCUAUUAGAUGAUAAAACAUAGUACUUUAUGUGUGACUAAAUAUUUUUAAAUUUUUCACAAAUUUUUCAAAUAAGACGGAUGGUUAAAUGUUGGGCACGGAUAUCCACGACUGUAUUUAUU